CGAACGGCUGAGUAACACGUGGGCAACCUGCCCUUUGCACUGGGAUAGCCUCGGGAAACCGAGGUUAAUACCGGAUACUCCAUAUUGUCGCAUGGCGAAUAUGGGGAAAAGCUCCGGCGGCAAAGGAUGGGCCCGCGGCCUGUUAGCUAGUUGGUGGGGUAGUGGCCUACCAAGGCAAUGAUGGGUAGCCGGGUUGAGAGACCGACCGGCCAGAUUGGGACUGAGACACGGCCCAGACUCCUACGGGAGGCAGCAGCU
rnacentral:rRNA from 1 species